rnacentral:rRNA from 1 species
UACGUAGGUGGCAAGCGUUGUCCGGAAUUAUUGGGCGUAAAGCGCGCGCAGGUGGUUUCUUAAGUCUGAUGUGAAAGCCCACGGCUCAACCGUGGAGGGUCAUUGGAAACUGGGGAACUUGAGUGCAGAAGAGGAAAGUGGAAUUCCAAGUGUAGCGGUGAAAUGCGUAGAGAUUUGGAGGAACACCAGUGGCGAAGGCGACUUUCUGGUCUGUACUGACACUGAGGCGCGAAAGCGUGGGGAGCGAACAGG